rnacentral:rRNA from 1 species
UACGUAGGGUGCAAGCGUUGUCCGGAAUUAUUGGGCGUAAAGAGCUCGUAGGCGGUUUGUCGCGUCGAAUGUGAAAACCCGGGGCUCAACCCCGGGCCUGCAUUCGAUACGGGCAGACUAGAGUUCGGUAGGGGAGUCUGGAAUUCCUGGUGUAGCGGUGAAAUGCGCAGAUAUCAGGAGGAACACCGGUGGCGAAGGCGGCUCGCUGGGCCGGUCCUGACGCUGAGACGCGAAGGCGUGGGGAGCGAACGGG